GCAGAGAGGAGUGGAGGAAGAGAGGAGUGGAGGCAGAGAGGAGUGGAGGCAGAGAGGUGUGGAGGAAGAGAGGAGUGGAGGCAGAGAGGAGUGGAGGAAGAGAGGAGUGGAGGAAGAGAGGAGUGGAGGCAGAGAGGAGUGGAGGAAGAGAGGAGUGGAGGCAGAGAGGAGUGGAGGAAGAGAGGAGUGGAGGAAGAGAGGAGUGGAGUUAGAGAGGAGUGGAGGCAGAGAUGAGUGGAGGAAGAGAGGAGUGGAGGAAGAGAGGAGUGGAGGCAGAGAGGUGUGGAGGCAGAGAGGAGUGGAGGAAGGGCGGAGUGGAGGCAGAGAGGAGUGGAGGAAGGGAGGAGUGGAGGCAGAGAGGAGUGGAGGAAGAGAGGAGUGGAGGCAGAGAGGAGUGGAGGAAGAGAGGAGUGGAGGAAGGGCGGAGUGGAGGCAGAGAGGAGUGGAGGUAGAGGAGUGGAGGGAGAGAGGAGUGGAGGCAGAGAGGAGUGGAGGUAGAGGAGUGGAGGCAGAGAGGGGUGGAGGCAGAGAGGGGUGACAUGUGUCUGGGAAAAGGAGUAAUACACACAUUGAGGUGAUCAGUGAGGUGUGUAGUGGGAAAAGGGGUAAUACACACAUUGAGGUGAUCAGUGAGGUGUGUAGUGGGAUAGAGAGAGGAGCUGUGACAUGGUAAAUACCUUCUGGAAAACUGAGAGACUCUAAAGGUUCCGUUCUGCAAGGCUCAGGACAGGUAGUGAUGGAGGGGGAACAGUCAGACCAGGGCUUGAACCGGAGACCCUGGGUUACAGGGCAGGCAUUCUGCCAUAAAGGUCCAGACCUCUUGGCAGAGGGCGUAGUGUGCUCACAUACAAGGAGACAACCCAACAUAGACCAGGGGCUGAUACAGUGGAUUGAUUCAUCAGUGUCAAACCAAACGUGUGGCUUAGUUAGAAAUGGACUCUUUGGUUCAUUUUCCAAAUACAGGUGUCCUAUGUAUGCACACACACACACAUUCAUCAACAUACACACACAGGCACACACACACACAUUCAUCAACAUACACACACACAGGCACACACACACACAUUCAUCAACAUACACACACACAGGCACACACACACACAUUCAUCAACAUACACACACACAGGCACACGCACACAUUCAUCAACAUACACACACACACACAGGCACACACACACACA
rnacentral:lncRNA from 1 species